rnacentral:rRNA from 1 species
AGCAGCCGCGGUAAUUCCAGCUCCAAUAGCGUAUAUUAAAGUUGUUGCAGUUAAAAAGCUCGUAGUUGAAUUUCGGGAUCAAUUUGUCGGUCGUGCCUCGGUACGUACUGGCAUUACUGGUUUCUCUCUUCUGACGAACCAUGAUGUCAUUAAUUUGGUGUCUUGGGAAAUCAGGACUGUUACUUUGAAAAAAU